CGGAGACUUGAGAGCGGCGUACGGGUGCGGAACACGUGUGCAACCUGCCUUUAUCAGGGGGAUAGCCUUUCGAAAGGAAGAUUAAUACCCCAUAAUAUAUAGAGUGGCAUCACUUUAUAUUGAAAACUGAGGUGGAUAAAGAUGGGCACGCGCAAGAUUAGAUAGUUGGUGAGGUAACGGCUCACCAAGUCGAUGAUCUUUAGGGGGCCUGAGAGGGUGAUCCCCCACACUGGUACUGAGACACGGACCAGACUCCUACGGGAGGCAGCAGUGAGGAAUAUUGGACAAUGGGUUAGCGCCUGAUCCAGCCAUCCCGCGUGAAGGACGACGGCCCUAUGGGUUGUAAACUUCUUUUGUACAGGGAUAAACCUAUUUACGUGUAAAUAGCUGAAGGUACU
rnacentral:rRNA from 1 species